rnacentral:rRNA from 1 species
UCUGAGUAAUGGCGAAUGAACAGGAAAUUGCACAGCAUGGGAAAUGGAGCCUUUGGCUUUGAUGUGUAGUGUGGAUCUGUGUUGCCAACAAGGGAGCAGAUAUAAGCCUCUUGGAACAGAGCACUAAUGAAGGUGAGAGUCCUUGUAGAGUAUCUGCAACCGCUUGUGCACGGCAUGCAAUAUGAGAGUCACGUUCCUUGGGAUUGGAGCGCAAAGUGGGUGGUAAGCUUCAUCUAAUGCUCUAUAUGUGUUCGAGACCAAUAGUGCACAAGUACCAUGAGGGAAAGAUGAAAAGGACUUUGGAAAGAGAGUUAAAAGUAAUUGAACUUGCUGAAUGGGAAGCUGAUGGGAGCAGUGAAGCUGAGCAAUUCUUCCACAUCUUGCACAUUGCAGGUCAGCUCCCAUGUACAUGGAACCAGAUCUGUGCAUGGUGCUUUUUGUGGUGUCUUUUGCUCUGUCUGUCAUAAGCGAUUCUCAAGUACGGAAUCUUGCCGCAUAAUGCACUGCCUUGCUGUGGGAAGGCAAUGAUGUGCUGCUUAACUCAAUUGAGAAUUCAUGAUGCAUUGUUCAGAUAUGCUGCGCGUUGUCUGGCACCUUGCGCUUGCACUUGCCUUGCCUUCUCGCAGGUAGCGAACAAUUGAAAGUGACAACAUGAUUUCAUCUGACCCGUCUUGAAACACGGACCAAGGAGUCUAACAUAUGUGCAAGUGGCUGACAGGUUGUGUCUGUUGCGAAAUGAAAGUGACUUUUGGGAUUUGUGCACCAGCAAUCGACUGAUCAAUAAUGAAAGGUUUGAAUAUGAGCAUAUCUGUUAGGACCCGAAAGAUGGUGAACUAUGCCUGCCAAAGGUCAAUUCAGGAGAAAUUCUGAUGGAGGCUUGCAGCGAUACUGACGUGCAAAUCGUUCGUCGAAGGUGGGUAUAGGGGCGAAAGACUAAUCGAACCAUCUAGUAGCUGGUUCCCUCCGAAGUUUCCCUCAGGAUAGCUGGAGCCGAACACUUUUAUCACGUAAAGCGAAUGAUUAGAGGAAUUGGGGACAUGAUGUGCUCGACCUAUUCUCAAACUUUAAAUGGGUAAGAUCCAGUUGUUGCUUAAGUGAACUUCUGGGAUAAAUGACAGCUCUAAGUGGGCCGCUUUUGGUAAGCAGAACUGGCGAUGAGGGAUGAACCUAACACUGCAUUAAGGUGCCUAAUUGCUCGCUCAUCAGAUACCAUAAAGGGUGUUGGUUCAUUUCAACAGCAGGACGGUGGUCAUGGAAGUCGAAACCCGCUAAGGAGUGUGUAACAACUCACCUGCCGAAUGGACUAGCCCCGAAAAUGGAUGGCGCUCAAGCGAACAACUGACAUGCAGUCAUUGCUGUG